AGCGAGGAAGGAGCGCUGACCGCUGGGUCCUGAUUGUCCAAACGCAAUUCUUGUCUCCGCUCCACCGAGAGUUGAGUCUGGACAUCAGGAGCCGGAGGUUGGGUGGACGCCAAACCCAG
rnacentral:precursor_RNA from 11 species